rnacentral:ncRNA from 2 species
ACCUGUAGCUGGGGGAGCCCCGCGAGGAGGGGCUGAGAGUCCGAAGGGACGACCCUUAGAACCUGAUCCGGGUAGUGCCGGCGGAGGGAAGGCGAGAAACGAACCAA